UAGUUCAAUUAAACUGAAACGGAUCAUUCCAUCACAUAAGUUAUAAGUAAAGAAAAGAUAUCUGAUCUUGCGUCUAUUUAUCUAAUUUCAGGACUACCUCUCAAUCACCUAAAGCAAAGACAAGAUCAACGAAGUGAAAAAAAGCAAGGAGAAUCCAAAGGGUUAUUCUAUGUACGCUGAAAUACCACCAGAUGCAAUGCCGCUGCUUGAGCCUCGACUGAAAGAAGGAAAAAAUAGUUCUCAUGAGGAAGAUAACAGUUGAAAGAGCACAACCUGGAUUCAAAGUGGUCCGAAAUCCUUAUAUGAUCAGGGUGAAUAGGAGAACUGAAAUAGCUGAAGUGCAUAAUCUGCCUCCUGAGUUUCCAAAAUACACUUUCUCUCUUACAAUAUUUCCAGAUUUAUAUCAGCACACGAACAAAACUGAUCAAUUUCUUGAUAUCAUAGGCCAGAUCACUUAUGUUUCCAAUGCAGCAAGAGUGUUAACCAGUCAAGGGGAAUUACAGACAAAAAAGGAUUAUCAACCUACAGGAUCUUAGUGGCAACAGAUUUGAACUCUCGCUUUGGGGAGCAAGAGCAUUGGAAUUCAAUGGAGAAUCAGUUUAUCAAAUUGGACAAAAAAAACACAUUAUAGCUAUCUUUCUUGGGACUUCCAUGAAGUCAUACAGUGGCGGGCCUCCUUUCUUAAACGGAACUUCAACUUGCUGUUGGUGCAUAAAUUUAGAUGAAAUCGAUAAAAUCACUUCUUUUUACAGAAGGUAAUAAGUACAAAUAUAUCUUCUUCUUCUCCUCUUUUCAUAUACUUUCCUGAGAGCUGUUUUAUGGAGUAUACUACAGUAUAACGUAUCAUGUUCAAUUAAAAGAAAUAGUCUUCAAGAUUAAUUUCACUUUUUCCCUUGCACUGUUGUAGUUUGAGCAAUACAGAUGUUUCUUUGUGCACAAUUUUGUAGCCCUGCUGAUUCAGCAAUUUUCCACAUUUCAAAAUAUAAGACAUAUCUUUGACAUUUUUCAAGUCAUUUGAUUACAAUAUCAGUUAUACAAGGUUAUGAAAUUAUCUCAAACGGUGUUCUC